rnacentral:rRNA from 1 species
UGACCUCGGAUCAGGUAGGGAUACCCGCUGAACUUAAGCAUAUCAAUAAGCGGAGGAAAAGAAACCAACAGGGAUUGCCUCAGUAACGGCGAGUGAAGCGGCAAGAGCUCAAAUUUGAAAGCUGGCUCCUUCGGGGUCCGCAUUGUAAUUUGCAGAGGAUGCUUCGGGAGCGGCCCCCAUCUAAGUGCCCUGGAAGGGGCCGUCAUAGAGGGUGAGAAUCCCGUACGGGAUGGGGUGCCCGCGACCAUGUGAAGCUCCUUCGACGAGUCGAGUUGUUUGGGAAUGCAGCUCUAAAUGGGUGGUAAAUUUCAUCUAAAGCUAAAUAUUGGCCGGAGACCGAUAGCGCACAAGUAGAGUGAUCGAAAGAUGAAAAGCACUUUGAAAAGAGAGUUAAAAAGCACGUGAAAUUGUUGAAAGGGAAGCGCUUGCGACCAGACUCGCCCGCGGGGUUCAGCCGGUAUUCGUACCGGUGUACUUCCCCGUGGGCGGGCCAGCGUCGGUUUGGGCGGCCGGUCAAAGGCCCUCGGAAUGUAACGCCUCUCGGGGCGUCUUAUAGCCGAGGGUGCCAUGCGGCCAGCCCGGACCGAGGAACGCGCUUCGGCACGGACGCUGGCAUAAUGGUCGUAAGCGACC